GCAAGCCAUAUCGGAAGCACAGAAGGUGU
rnacentral:piRNA from 1 species